GCGCUCGCUUCAGCAGCACAUAUACUAAAACUGGAACGAUACAGAGAUGACUAGCGGCCCCUGUGCAAGGAUGACAUGCAAACUUGUGAAGUGUACCAUAUUUUA
ensembl:snRNA U6 U6 spliceosomal RNA